AACGAACGCUGGCGGCAUGCCUAACACAUGCAAGUCGAACGAGACCUUCGGGUCUAGUGGCGCACGGGUGCGUAACGCGUGGGAACCUGCCCUUAGGUUCGGAAUAACUCCCCGAAAGGGGUGCUAAUACCGGAUAAUGUCUUCGGACCAAAGAUUUAUCGCCUUUGGAUGGGCCCGCGUUGGAUUAGCUAGUUGGUAGGGUAAAAGCCUACCAAGGCGACGAUCCAUAGCUGGUCUGAGAGGAUGAUCAGCCACACUGGGACUGAGACACGGCCCAGACUCCUACGGGAGGCAGCAGUGGGGAAUAUUGGGCAAUGAGCGAAAGCCUGAUCCAGCAAUGCCGCGUGAGUGAUGAAGGCCUUAGGGUUGUAAAGCUCUUUUACCCGGGAUGAUAAUGACAGUACCGGGAGAAUAAGCUCCGGCUAACUCCGUG
rnacentral:rRNA from 1 species